UACAGAGGGGGCACGCGUUAUUCGGAAUUAUUGGGCGUAAAGGGCGCGUAGGCGGCUUGGCAAGUGGAUGGUGAAAUCCCUCGGCUUAACCGAGGAACUGCCGUCCAAACUGCUUUGCUUGAGACCGGGAGAGGUGAGUGGAAUUCCCAGUGUAGCGGUGAAAUGCGUAGAUAUCUGGAGGAACACCGGUGGCGAAGGCGGCAUCCUGGACCAAUUCUGACGCUGAGGAGCGAAAGCCAGGGGAGCAAACGGGG
rnacentral:rRNA from 1 species